GACGAACGCUGGCGGCGUGCUUAACACAUGCAAGUCGAACGGAAAGGCCCUGCUUUUGUGGGGUGCUCGAGUGGCGAACGGGUGAGUAACACGUGAGUAACCUGCCCUUGACUUUGGGAUAACUUCAGGAAACUGGGGCUAAUACCGGCUAGGAGCUCCUGCUGCAUGGUGGGGGUUGGAAAGUUUCGGCGGUUGGGGAUGGACUCGCGGCUUAUCAGCUUGUUGGUGGGGUAGUGGCUUACCAAGGCUUUGACGGGUAGCCGGCCUGAGAGGGUGACCGGCCACACUGGGACUGAGAUACGGCCCAGACUCCUACGGGAGGCAGCAGUGGGGAAUAUUGCACAAUGGGCGGAAGCCUGAUGCAGCAACGCCGCGUGCGGGAUGACGGCCUUCGGGUUGUAAACCGCUUUCGCCUGUGACGAAGCGUGAGUGACGGUAAUGGGUAAAGAAGCACCGGCUAACUACGUG
rnacentral:rRNA from 1 species